AAGGUGAGGCGACCGUGGCUUGCAGUACCGCAGAUCCGGCCACAUGGGUGCGCUGUUGCACUUUCCUCCGCUCCGUAGAAAGUUCUCUCGGGCGUUCAGCGUGUACCACGCGCUCUCACAGUUUCUGUCACACACUCCGACAACGUGAGUACAGAAACCGGUUGUCUUAAAGGCACGAACAAACACCUGAACGAGCAAAGACGAGCUGCUGGCCGGUAUCUGACUCGGGUCUCACUCUGAGCACAUCAUUGGUUCAGGUGACAUCCGUUACCAUACGGCGCCGAUGACAUCUUUUUUUUUAAGCGUGCAGCAGACGACAAGACAAGAAAACCGUGCUACCAGAUCGAUGGUCAUUAACCCAUUAACCUCUGGUCUUUAGCGCCCCAGGACGUCAUUCUCUAACCUCUCCCUCCCAUCAUUUUUUAAGGUGAUGCCGCCCGCCCGCUGUGCAUCCUGACCUUUACUCUGGAGCCUGGAUUUAUGGAACGGAUGUGAAAUAUAUCUGUAUAUAUAAAGCAGCGAAUUUGCGAGUGCUGAAAAACAAUGUGCAAACCCUAGACUGCUGCAACCAAACCCUGUCCUUAUUCUUUUGAUAGCCAUAAAAUUGGUACAGCUUUCCUAGAGCCAUUUCUAUGGUUUCUUGGUGCUCGGUUCCUGCCCUUGUGACCCGCUGGAAUAUCGUGACUUGACAA